GAGGAGGGGAAGAAAUGAUAAAAGAAAAAAAAAAAAAAAAAAAAGAGCGAAACUAAUGGUAUUGACAGUGUAGCAAGUAGUGAGGCAGAGGUUUGGAGAAAGAGGAAGAAAAUCUUCAGGGGGAAUCGGGGCCAGGAUGGAAAGGAGAGGAGGAGAGAUGAAGGAAUGGCAGGCAAGGAAGGCUGCCUGUGUUGCGGCCUGAAUCCUAGCAGGGACAGGCUUUGAGAAGAUGUUUUAAGUGUGGCCAGGCUGGCCACUUCGGGUAGGAAUAUCUGGAGUGGAAGAAGGAGGAGAGAAGGAAAA